AAAGCUUUAAGUUAAAAAAACUAAUAACCUUCAAAGUUAUAAAUAUAAAAUAUUAUAAGCUUUA
rnacentral:tRNA from 1 species